GGACUACAGGGGUAUCUAAUCCUGUUUGCUCCCCACGCUUUCGUGCCUCAGCGUCAGUAUUGGCCCAGGAGGCUGCCUUCGCCAUCGGUGUUCCUCCACAUAUCUACGCAUUUCACUGCUACACGUGGAAUUCCACCUCCCUCUGCCAUACUCUAGUCUGCCAGUCACGUAUGCAGUUCCCAGGUUGAGCCCAGGGAUUUCACAUCCGUCUUAACAAACCGCCUACGCACCCUUUACGCCCAAUAAUUCCGAUUAACGCUUGCACCCUACGUAUUACCGCGGCUGCUGGCAC
rnacentral:rRNA from 1 species